rnacentral:rRNA from 1 species
UACGAAGGGGGCGAGCGUUGUUCGGAUUUACUGGGCGUAAAGGGUGCGCAGGCGGCCAAGUGUGUGAGGCGUGAAAGCCCGAAGCUUAACUUCGGAAUUGCACCUCAAACUACAUGGCUAGAGCAUUGGAGAGGGUAGCGGAAUUCACGGUGUAGCAGUGAAAUGCGUAGAUAUCGUGAGGAACACCAGAGGCGAAGGCGGCUACCUGGACAAUUGCUGACGCUCAGGCACGAAAGCGUGGGGAGCAAAAGGG